rnacentral:rRNA from 1 species
CGUAGGGUGCAAGCGUUGUCCGGAAUUAUUGGGCGUAAAGAGCUCGUAGGCGGUCUGUUACGUCGGCUGUGAAAACCUAGGGCUCAACUCUGGGCUUGCAGCCGAUACGGGCAGACUAGAGUUCGGUAGGGGAGACUGGAAUUCCUGGUGUAGCGGUGAAAUGCGCAGAUAUCAGGAGGAACACCGGUGGCGAAGGCGGGUCUCUGGGCCGAUAUUGACGCUGAGGAGCGAAAGCGUGGGGAGCGAACAGGAUUAGAUACCCUGGUAGUCCACGCCGUAAACGUUGGGAACUAGGUGUGGGCUCCAUUCCACGGAGUCUGUGCCGCAGCUAACGCAUUAAGUUCCCCGCCUGGGGAGUACGGCCGCAAGGCUA